GACGAACGCUGGCGGCGUGCCUACUACAUGCAAGUCGAACGAGUGGCGGACGGGUGAGUAACACGUGGGAACCUACCCAUCAGAGGGGGCUAACUACUGGAAACGGUAGCUAAUACCGCAUACCAUCAGAUGUGCCCAGAUGGGAUUAGCUAGUAGGUUGGGUAACGGCUAACCUAGGCGACGAUCCCUAGCUGGUCUGAGAGGAUGACCGGCCACACUGGAACUGAGACACGGUCCAGACUCCUACGGGAGGUAGAAGUGGGGAAUAUUGCACAAUGGGCGCAAGCCUGAUGCAGCCAUGCCGCGUGUGUGAAGAAGGCCUUCGGGUUGUAAAGCACUUUCAGCGGGGAGGCGUUACCCGCAGAAGAAGCACCGGCUAACUCCGUGCCAGCAGCCGCGGUAAUAC
rnacentral:rRNA from 1 species